CCUACGGGAGGCAGCAGUGGGGAAUCUUGCGCAAUGGGCGAAAGCCUGACGCAGCAACGCCGCGUGCGGGAAGAAGGCCUUCGGGUUGUAAACCGCUUUCAGAAGGAACGAAAAUGACGGUACUUUCAGAAGAAGGUGCGGCCAACUACGUGCCAGCAGCCGCGGUGACACGUAGGCACCAAGCGUUGUCCGGAUUUAUUGGGCGUAAAGAGCUCGUAGGCGGUUCGGUAAGUCGGGUGUGAAAACUUUGGGCUCAACCCAAAGCGUGCAUUCGAUACUGUCGUGACUAGAGUUCGGUAGGGGAGCGGGGAAUUCCUAGUGUAGCGGUGAAAUGCGCAGAUAUUAGGAGGAACACCGGUGGCGAAGGCGCCGCUCUGGGCCGAAACUGACGCUGAGGAGCGAAAGCGUGGGUAGCAAACAGGAUUAGAUACCCUGGUAGUCCACGCCGUAAACGUUGGGCACUAGGUGUGGGUCUCAACCAACGAGAUCCGCGCCGUCGCAAACGCAUUAAGUGCCCCGCCUGGGGAGUACGGCCGCAAGGUUAAAACUCAAAGGAAUUGACGG
rnacentral:rRNA from 1 species